rnacentral:snRNA from 1 species
AUGGUCGGUCUCUAGGGAGAGAU